rnacentral:rRNA from 1 species
CAGUCGCCGCGGGAAUACGGAGGGUGCAAGCGUUAAUCGGAAUUACUGGGCGUAAAGCGCACGCAGGCGGUCUGUCAAGUCGGAUGUGAAAUCCCCGGGCUCAACCUGGGAACUGCAUUCGAAACUGGCAGGCUAGAGUCUUGUAGAGGGGGGUAGAAUUCCAGGUGUAGCGGUGAAAUGCGUAGAGAUCUGGAGGAAUACCGGUGGCGAAGGCGGCCCCCUGGACAAAGACUGACGCUCAGGUGCGAAAGCGUGGGGAGCAAACAGGAUUAGAUACCCGCGUAGUCCCUGUCUCUUAUAA